rnacentral:rRNA from 1 species
GAUGAACGCUAGCGGCAGGCUUAAUACAUGCAAGUCGUGGGGCAGCAUGAAUGUAGCAAUACAUUUGAUGGCGACCGGCAAACGGGUGCGGAACACGUACACAACCUUCCGAUAAGUGGGGAAUAGCCCAGAGAAAUUUGGAUUAAUACCCCGUAACAUAGAGAGGUGGCAUCAUCUUUAUAUUAUAGCUACGGCGCUUAUUGAUGGGUGUGCGGCUGAUUAGAUAGUUGGCGGGGUAACGGCCCACAAAGUCUACGAUCAGUAGCUGAAGUGAGAGCAUGAUCAGCCACACGGGCACUGAGACACGGGCCCGACUCCUACGGGAGGCAGCAGUAAGGAAUAUUGGUCAAUGGACGCAAGUCUGAACCAGCCAUGCCGCGUGAAGGAUUAAGGUCCUCUGGAUUGUAAACUUCUUUUAUCUGGGACGAAAAAAGGCGAUUCUUCGUCACUUGACGGUACCAGAUGAAUAAGCACCGGCUAACUCCGUGCCAGCCGCCGCCGUAA